rnacentral:misc_RNA from 1 species
GUGAAUCAUCGAAUCUUUGAACGCAUAUUGCACUCUCUGGUAUUCCGGAGAGUAUGCCUGUUUGAGGGUAAUUAAAAAGAAUCUUUAACAAUUUUUUUUGUCAAAGGAAAUGAGUUUUUCGCGUUUAUAGGGGUAGGUUGAAAUAAAUGGUCAAGUUUUAUUUUAGUCGAGACGCGUAAUAAUUUUAUUUCGCGAAAUU